rnacentral:misc_RNA from 1 species
CUUAAUUUCCCGGAUACAAGUCAGCAGCUUGUUCGUUUACGUUGUUAUUGCUCUUCCUAUACAUUUUGCGGCUACGUCCCAAGAAGGAGGAAAGUUGCGGAGACUGCGGUGAAUCUGUUCAUAAUUUACCUUUAACUUCCAGCAAUGUCGUUCUUCUUGCAAGUAUUUUGGAUCUUGUCAGUAGUUUGCAUAAUUUUGUAUUUUAUAACUAGAGCCGCCUUACCUACAGUAUCAGAUGCAAACUUUGCGUUCUUCCAACGAUCGUAUCUCACUGUUUAUCUGCUGGCAAUGGCUGGAGACUGGCUGCAAGGACCACAUGUGUAUGUGUUGUAUGACAGCUAUGGUAUGACCCCACACCAGAUUGAAAUUCUCUUUGUGGCUGGAUUUGGAUCUAGCAUGAUGAUUGGAACUAUUGUAGGGUCAUUUGCAGACCGAUAUGGCCGAAGGGCAAAUUGUAUCCUGUAUGGAAUUUUAUACAGCUUGGCCUGUGUCACAAAGCACUUCGCAAACUUUUGGGUACUUAUGUUGGGGCGUGUACUUGGAGGCAUGGCCACCUCUAUUUUGUACAGCGCUUUUGAGUCAUGGCUGAUAUAUGAACAUCAUAAGCGUGGAUUUGAAUCAGAUUUGUUAGGGAACAUAUUCAGUCAUGCAGUGCUGGGAAAUUCACUGGUAGCAAUCGUCGCUGGUCUCCUUGCUCAAAAAGUUGCUGAUGUCUUUGGCUUUGUAGCCCCAUUUGAUGUGUCAAUUCUACUGUUGUGCAUCAUGGUUGUAAUGAUCAUCUUCACUUGGACUGAAAAUUAUGGAGAUAAAAGUAGCAGCUUUCGCCAUUCCUUUUCUUCUGCAUUUCAAGCAAUCCGCAAUGAUCACAAGAUUCUGUGCCUUGGAAUUAUCCAGUCAUUGUUUGAGGGCUCCAUGUAUGUAUUUGUACUUGAGUGGACUCCAGCCCUAACACCCAGCAUGCCUGAAGAAGAACAGGCUAACAAAGAUGGCAUCUCUCAGGAAGGACACAGAGGUACCAUUCCACAUGGCCAUAUCUUUGCAGCCUUCAUGGUGGCAAUCAUGAUAGGCUCAUCUCUCUUCAAACUGUUGUCCAAGUAUACUAGUGUGGAAAGUUUCAUGAGGACAGUUUUAUUUGUGUCCUCUAUUGCAUUGGCCACACCUAUCUUCUUUGCAGGGAACCAAUUGAUUGUUUUUGCUGGCUUUCUGGUGUUUGAAACAUGUGUUGGGAUCUUCUGGCCUUCUCUAAGUACUAUGAGAGGCAAAUAUGUCCCAGAGGAAACACGAGCAACAACAAUGAACCUCUUCCGGAUUCCACUGAAUCUCAUUGUUAUAUUUAUUCUUCUUCAGAGCCUUCCAAUGAAAAUAAUAUUUCAGUGCUGCACCUUUUUCCUUCUGGCUGCUAGUUUUGUACAGCAUUGGCUUUACACCCUAAAUGCUUGAGGUCCUGCUCAAUGCCUGGAGGAUAACCCAUAUUUUUGCAUCUCCAUUACAAGAACCCAAGCUGCAAUCAGGAAGCUUUUUCUUCUUUGUUUUGUUUUGUUUUUUUAAAGAAAGGGCAUGGUUGAAUGGCUUUAUGAAUAACUCUAUACUGUUGAUGAGGACCUUUCACAUAUGUCUGAUAUCCAUUGUAGUUAUCUGGCGUAGAAAACAUGGCUGAGCAUGAAGCUUGGGUGUGUGCACUGAAAUAGUCGAAUCAUGAACUUACAAGACUAAUGACUCAUGGUCCAGCAUGUCCCAGUGCUCAUGUGAUAGACCCACAAGUACCUGUCUCAUUUGUGAGUGCAUGGUAGCUGAUACACUAAUUAUUGAUCAUGUUUUAGUUACAGCUGAAAGUUUCAAUCUAAAUUAUAUUCUGUAAAUUUCUUUGUUUAAAAAAAAAAGAAGGAAAAGCAUUUAAUUCUAAAAUUUACAUGUGGACAGUGGCUGGUGGAAUCCCAAGCAUCAUUAGAAUUGUCUUGGCUGUAAUGCAUGCCAAGGGUGGGUUGCUUAAUUUUUUCCCGUAUAUAGAGGUUCCCAUGGGACCUCCUCGGGGACUUUCUUAAAUUUAUUGACACAUGAAUGAAAAUAUGAAAAUGUGGAUUCAGCUCUCUUCAGACACUCUGCUUGUUUGCAUUACAGAACGUUUGCUCUACAGACUAUAUUUAGCCAGCAGUCUUCUUUGCUAGACUGUUGUGUCUGUUUUAAAUCAGCCAGUGAGUCUCACUAACUGCAUGAAUUCCAUGCCCAGCAUGCAUAAACUGUUUCCAAUCUGUUACAUGAAUGCAGACAAAAUUGGGUAAGAAUAUCAAUAUAUAAAAGGAAACAAAUGAACUAGUUUGUUGUGUAGCAUAAGUAAACUUCAUGUAGGGAAUGUGCAAGGAGUAGUAAGACUAGGAGUAAACGGACUAGUUUUGAAUUCUCACUGCUAUUAAAAAACUGUUCUUACACAAUACCAGCUGUAAGAGAGGAAACAUUUUAAUUGAAAAUUUGAAAGUCACAUUACCUUCUACAAGAAACAUUAUUUUUCUUUGGGUUACAAAAUCCUUUCUGUCUCUUGCACUCCACUAACAGAUAUAUCAGUCAAGGCGCUUCUCAUUCACCUCAAGUCUUUCAUCUUUAGCAAAGGUUGUAUGAAAAACUGCCCAAGACCCACACUCUGCCAUCCACCACUGUGGACAAACUCGGGCUGCCAAAGGAUGAAGACAUGGAUGUUCCGUCC